rnacentral:rRNA from 1 species
AGGAUUAGAUACCUGGUAGUCCAUGCCGUAAACGUUGGGCACUAGGUGUGGGGGACAUUCCACGUUUUCCGCGCCGUAGCUAACGCAUUAAGUGCCCCGCCUGGGGAGUACGGCCGCAAGGCUAAAACUCAAAGGAAUUGACGGGGGCCCGCACAAGCGGCGGAGCAUGCGGAUUAAUUCGAUGCAACGCGAAGAACCUUACCAAGGCUUGACAUGGACCGGACCGGGCUGGAAACAGUCCUUCCCCUUUGGGGCCGGUUCACAGGUGGUGCAUGGUUGUCGUCAGCUCGUGUCGUGAGAUGUUGGGUUAAGUCCCGCAACGAGCGCAACCCUCGUUCCAUGUUGCCAGCGCGUAAUGGCGGGGACUCAUGGGAGACUGCCGGGGUCAACUCGGAGGAAGGUGGGGACGACGUCAAAUCAUCAUGCCCCUUAUGUCUUGGGCUUCACGCAUGCUACAAUGGCCGGUACAAAGGGUUGCGAUACUGUGAGGUGGAGCUAAUCCCAAAAAGCCGGUCUCAGUUCGGAUUGGGGUCUGCAACUCGACCCCAUGAAGUCGGAGUCGCUAGUAAUCGCAGAUCAGCAACGCUGCGGUGAAUACGUUCCCGGGCCUUGUACACACCGCCCGUCAAGUCACGAAAGUUGGUAACACCCGAAGCCGGUGGCCUAACCCCUUGUGGGAGGGAGCUGUCGAAGUGGGACUG